rnacentral:rRNA from 1 species
GACGAACGCUGGCGGCGUGCUUAAUACAUGCAAGUCGAGCGAGGCCUUGGAAUUGGAGUCCUUCGGGAUGAAGAGUCCUUGGCCUAGCGGCGGACGGGUGAGUAACGCGUGGGCAACCUACCCCAAAGUCCGGGAUAACAGUGGGAAACCGCUGCUAAUACCGGAUGACUUUACCUGAGGGCAUCCUUGGGUAAAGAAAGGUUACGCUUUGGGAUGGGCCCGCGUCCCAUUAGCUAGUUGGUGAGGUAACGGCUCACCAAGGCGACGAUGGGUAGCCGGCCUGAGAGGGUGAACGGCCACACUGGGACUGAGACACGGCCCAGACUCCUACGGGAGGCAGCAGUAGGGAAUAUUGCGCAAUGGGCGGAAGCCUGACGCAGCGACGCCGCGUGAGCGAAGAAGGCCUUCGGGUCGUAAAGCUCUGUCCUUGGGGAAGAAGGCGAAAGCUUGACGGUACCCAAGAAGAAAGCCCCGGCUAACUACGUG